CAGUCGCCGCGGGAAUACGAAGGGUGCAAGCGUUAAUCGGAAUUACUGGGCGUAAAGCGCGCGUAGGCGGUGAGUUAAGUCUGCUGUGAAAUCCCCGGGCUCAACCUGGGAAUGGCAGUGGAUACUGGCUCGCUAGAGUGUGUCAGAGGAUAGUGGAAUUUCCGGUGUAGCAGUGAAAUGCGUAGAGAUCGGAAGGAUCAUCUGUGGCGAAGGCGACUAUCUGGGCCAACACUGACACUGAGGCACGAAAGCGUGGGGAGCAAACAGGAUUAGAUACCCGCGUAGUCCCUGUCUCUUAUAC
rnacentral:rRNA from 1 species